rfam:Myotis davidii contig136938, whole genome shotgun sequence.
GGCAGUUCUUGGGUGAUGCACCCCAGAAUUGGUUCUCUGGUUCUGGGUGCAUCACCUGAGAACCCCU